rnacentral:rRNA from 1 species
CCUACGGGAGGCAGCAGUGGGGAAUUUUGGACAAUGGGCGAAAGCCUGAUCCAGCAAUGCCGCGUGCAGGAAGAAGGCCUUCGGGUUGUAAACUGCUUUUGUACGGAACGAAACGGUCUGCUUUAAUACAGUGGGCUAAUGACGGUACCGUAAGAAUAAGCACCGGCUAACUACGUGCCAGCAGCCGCGGUAAUACGUAGGGUGCGAGCGUUAAUCGGAAUUACUGGGCGUAAAGCGUGCGCAGGCGGUUAUAUAAGACAGUUGUGAAAUCCCCGGGCUCAACCUGGGAAUUGCAUCUGUGACUGUAUAGCUAGAGUACGGUAGAGGGGGAUGGAAUUCCGCGUGUAGCAGUGAAAUGCGUAGAUAUGCGGAGGAACACCGAUGGCGAAGGCAAUCCCCUGGACCUGUACUGACGCUCAUGCACGAAAGCGUGGGGAGCAAACAGGAUUAGAUACCCUGGUAGUCCACGCCCUAAACGAUGUCAACUGGUUGUUGGGUGCAUUAGUACUCAGUAACGAAGCUAACGCGUGAAGUUGACCGCCUGGGGAGGUACGGCCGCGAGUAGAACGUACGAAAGAAAGUUAGACGGCGUGAGACGUGCCGACGGACGACGACGAGGGAGGAGG